rnacentral:rRNA from 1 species
AUUGAACGCUGGCGGCAUGCUUUACACAUGCAAGUCGAACGGUAACGCGGGGCAACCUGGCGACGAGUGGCGAACGGGUGAGUAAUGCAUCGGAACGUGCCCAGUAGUGGGGGAUAGCCCGGCGAAAGCCGGAUUAAUACCGCAUACGACCUACGGGUGAAAGCGGGGGACCGUAAGGCCUCGCGCUAUUGGAGCGGCCGAUGUCAGAUUAGGUAGUUGGUGGGGUAAAGGCCUACCAAGCCUUCGAUCUGUAGCUGGUCUGAGAGGACGACCAGCCACACUGGGACUGAGACACGGCCCAGACUCCUACGGGAGGCAGCAGUGGGGAAUUUUGGACAAUGGGCGCAAGCCUGAUCCAGCCAUGCCGCGUGCGGGAAGAAGGCCUUCGGGUUGUAAACCGCUUUUGUCAGGGAAGAAACGCUCCGGGCUAAUACCCUGGGGUAAUGACGGUACCUGAAGAAUAAGCACCGGCUAACUACGUG